ACCUAUCGCCCGCACCUACGAGCGACCUCUCCUCUCGAUCCACCCCCUCCUGUGCGACCGCUCUCUUUCCCUCUCCUCGGAUGCGGCGCCGCCCCCAUCUCUCGCUCCGCCGCCACCGCCCCCCGCCUUCCCCUACCUCCCGCUCAGCCACGUCCACCACCCCCACCCUUCUCCCCAUUGCCGUAUCCGCUUGCAGAUCGUCAAGGUUAGGCAGCGGAGCUCCACAUCCGUGACCCGUGCGUGCUUGUCAAGGAAGCUGCUCCUGGAUCUGCGCUUGCGCGGCUGUGGCGGAAGGGACUCGAGGUGGCCGCCGUCGCCGCGGAAGACCAAUCCCCCACCUUGUCCAGAAUCUCUUCCUCCGCCAUGUUCCAACGAGGAAGGAGGGGGCGGCUCAAAGUCUCCCUCGUUGCCGCCUACAGCUGCAGCCGCCGCCAUGGGUGAGCUCCUCCUACACGACCAGUUUUGAUGGAUUCGUGGGCACAUGCAUGUAUAGCGGCCGGUGCGGCCGGCGGUCGUGCGGCGUCUCGUCCCCAAUGUCAAAUAAAUUGGUGCCUGUAUAUUAUAGAAGUAAGACACUUGAAAAUAGAUUCAGCGUGGUUCCUGCACUCCCAACUUUUCAUGGUCGACCUCACAUCAGAAAACAAUUAUUCAUCAUGGGCAGUCAUGGUUGUUCGCGACUCUGCAAGAAGAUGAUCGACGGUCGGCAGCUCGGCUGCUUCAUUGCCAUCUUCAACGAGCACCGUCCGACACGAUUUUUCGCUGGCAUGUACCAUCGAAUGUCACUGCUUUUAUCAUGGCAUCCAACACUUGCAGUUGUGACUCAAAAGGGAGUUCUGAAGCUGAUAAACUUGGAUGGCCUGACAGUCUACCAUACCAACAACCAUCUCCAAGGACACGAACUUGAUAAGUUUCUAAGAUUCAUACACACCUUCAGGUCAGAUACCUACUUUGUUCUCUAGAUUUCCUAUGCAUUUUAAGAGGAUGAGCCGCCCAUAUAUUCAUGAGGAAAUGAUGGAGGUGACCCUAUUUAAAAUGAACUUUCAUAAAUUUUUUUCCAAGAAAAGAUCAGGGUGCCGAUAGGGUUUCUAUUAUGUUUCAGGAGAAAUUUGGAUCUUUUUGGACAGUUAUUGCAACCAUCUUUCGGAAUGAGUAUAAAAAGAAUGCUAUGAGUAUGAUGUAAUCUGUGGAGGUGUCUUCAGGAUCGGUGGUGCAUCGGAAAAGAUGACAUGAAGGAGUUGUGCAUGUUUUACCUUCGACUACAUACUACAUAUGGUUGCAACCAACCUUAACAGCAUAACCUCGCUACAUCAAUCGUUGAGUUCCACUUAAAGAAAUGGUAAACAUAGAUCUAAAACUUGACAAUUUGAACCCUUGAUUGACGCAAGAGAUUGAAGAUACAACUCAUGGAAUCUGAAGAAUUAGAAAAAUGGUCAAAAUUCAUUUUUAUUUCAAAAGUGGAUAGUUGACUUUUUUAUUUAACUGACUCUGAACGUCCAAGGUAUCUGUUUUAUUCUACUAUGGACUUUAUUGCCGCAUUAGCAUAUAUUUUUUUGCGAGAUGCUGCAUUAUCAUUUAUGUUCUUGCAUAUUCUGUUGGUCCUUAAUGCUGCCACUGACGACCAAGUGCUGCAUAUUUAUUUCUCUUUAUAGGAAAAUGUAACACAUACAACUAUGAUUAACACAUUCUUUUUAGUAUUUGCAUUGGCAUUAUUUUGUCACUGGACAAUUUUUUGUCACAUAUAAUGAUGUUUAUGAAUCUGUUCAUGUAUUUUCGAGCUUUAGAUGAGUAUAUAUACUACCAACCCUUGCUUGUCCUUUCAGACUAGGCCUACCAAGCUACCACAAGGUCACCUCAGUUGAUUUUAGACUAGGCGAGCUCCUGGAUAGCCUUUGCAAUUCGAUGCUCGGGAUGCGGUGGCAUGUGAGAGGACAAGCAGGCGUGGGGCUAUUUAUGGUUGUCUGAUCAUUGUACUUUGGGACAUUGUACUUUUAGGACGUAAUGUGCACUUCUGGUUGUUAUUUUAAAUUGCCCAUGUCUUCAUAUGUCUUUCAAAUUCUUGACAUCUGCACUAAUAGCCUAAACCUCCAUGGCAUGAUCCAUCGGAGUAUUUUGUUUGUUGUACAAUUUUCAAGUGCGACCUUCCAAUUUAUGUUGUAACUGAUAGGUUUGGCACCUCAGAUAAGUUCUUGAAAUACCAAUGUCAUAUUUGGAUUAGAAAAAUAAGAUUUAGUUCGAUCAUGCAUGCAAUUGCAAUAACCCUACUCUGAGCUUUUAUAUACUGGUUAAAAUAGUUAAAUCUUCUAGAUUCUUUUGCAUAUUUUCUUGGAAUUAUAUUGGUCUAUGAGAGCACCUUAGUUUUCACUAAGCGAUAAAAUACAGUUUCUAUUUCCGUAAUACAGGUCAUUAGUGGUCACUUGGGAUGGGUGUGAUCUGUAGCAUUUGAUCCAGGGAACAGAUGGUUUUGUCUUGGUUCUGCUGAUAGGGCAAUAACGGCAAGGAAGAAGGUUGUAGAGUGCGGAUGGAUGUGAAAAGGAAGAGGAUGGAUGCGAGAAGAGAGAAGAGGGGUGAAAGAGGAUAUGGCUAGAAAGAGGGAGAAGGACAGGGUGGAGGCGCUUCUUGAGGAUUUUUGUCUGACUGAUUUCAUACUCUCUUAUAAAUCAUGGUUAGCUAGGUAAAUCUUUUGUACAACAGCUCUUGUUCAAAAGUUUGAUCUUUCGGCUUCUUAUUUUAGGUCAAUAUCAAGUACAGUUUAGUUAAUUUAUAUUAAUGUUUAUGUUUGAAA